AGUAUGACAUCCUCUGAUUCAUUUGGGGGAAUAACUGCUAUCUUCCUGGGUGGGAUAAUGUCUUUCAUCUGUAGAAUGUGAAAGACCGUGGUGUGUGGAGCAUUGACAUGCCACUAGCAAGAUAAGUCUUCCUGCCACCAAGAGAAGUGCCUUUUCCCAAUUUAGGGGGGCUCUAAUUCCUUUUGACAGACUCACGGGUGUGCUGUGUCUGGUAUAUAUUUUCAAGCUCUGGAAAUUGGAUCCAAUUCUUCAAGCCAAGACUUCCUUUUAAAGGCAACCUCAUGAGCCAAAAAACAAAUGAGUUCUACAAUACCUGUUGCAUGUCUAGUCAGAAAGCGCUUUGACCAACCCAAUCUUGACUUGCUCCAGGGAAGAAUUAAGUUCAUCCCAGCAUGGAUCCAGCCAGUGGUCAUGGGUAGAACCCAUCUUCACAGAUGUCUGUGAUUUGUUUGAUGUUUAUCAAGCGUGCACAGAAUGUCUGGCUGCUUUUCCAAGAAUCUUGGAUGGAGACCAUCUGCCCAUCUUUUACUGCCUACUUUAAGACUUAUUGGCCAUGCAAGUGUUUUAUCUCUUGGGCUUUUGUUGACUUCUGCUUUCCCUGGGAAAAUCCUGAGCAACUGCAGCUGUGAUUUAGAAGAUGCUUGAGAAAAAAAGUGGUUGAGACCUGGGUAAAGGGUAAUGGAGUGGAAAGUCCCAAGUGUGAUAAAAUUGGGAGAGAUGAUUAGCUGAGGUAAUCUGAGUCAAGGUACCUAAGUAGGGAAGGUGGAGAGGUGGUUUCUACUUCUGAUUCCCCUUUUCCCUCCCCACCCUACCUCUCAAUACACACUACAUUCCAUGUGGUUAUGAUGAGGCAUUAAUCAUGGAACCCCAUUUAGCCCCUGGCCCUAAACUGGGCACAAGUCACUAGGCUAGACCCAAAGUGUGAACAGAUCUAAUGGUUAUCCCAGUGAUUUGGGGCGUGACCCAAGUAGAGCCAGUCAGAAACCUCCCUGAGCUUAUACAUGUUGACUGAAAGAAUGGUUUUCUUUCUCUUCAAUCAUGGGCCAUUAGUGUAAAGGCCUGAGGAUGCUAAAAAUCAUCUUUAUCACUACCUGGAAAGAGCCUAUCUGAGAAUGACACAAUCAUACAGUGGAAAGUGAAUCCAGACAUGGAAAGAUAGCCAGAGAGCCCUGACAACAUCAUCAGAGCACCUGGAUCUAGCAAUGCCUGAAGCUAUAUAUCUUAUAACCCAUUUCAAAUUAGGUUAAACAAAGUAACAGCAACCGAACAACAAAGAAAUUCACUGUCUGCUGUAACUGGAAACUUUCUAUCAUCUUUGAUAAAAAUGGUCCUGACUAAUAUCUAGGAAUGAAGCAGCACUUCUAAAUAAGCCCAAAACAUAGCCAACUAAAAAGUUUAAAGGAACAUCAACAAGGCAGUUGUGCAAGACUGUAUGGAGAAUAAGUAAAGAGUGAAUUGGGAAGAAUGGUUCAAAGUUGAGUUUGAGAACGUGGAAGAUGAGAUAUAACUUUUUAUUUUUGAGAUAUAACUUUACAUAGUGACAUAUAUAUAUACAUAUAUACACAUACACCUAUAUACACACACCUGUAUAUGCACCUGUAUAUACACACCUGUAUAUGCACACAUGCGCAUACAUAAAUAUACACUGUAUUAUCUCAAGGAUCUACAUGUGUGUGUGUAUGUGUAUACCGUUAUUUUUCAGAUCUACUAGAGUACUGUUGCGAUUGAAUUAGUAGUGCUUGGAGACAAAUAUGAAUUUUCUAUACAAUCCUUUUCAUCAUUUUCUAAAGCAACAAAUAUGAAGAAAAGAUUCACACUACUUCACCAAAAGGUCAAUGAACUUUUUUUUUUUGCUGUGGUCUGGUGGCUCACUGAAAACUCUCCCCAUCUCUUUCUCCCAGAAGAAGCCUGAGACACGCAAAACCUGACGCUGUGUCCCUAGUUCGUAAAGCCACUUCUUUAAACUUUUUCCUUUAAUGAGUUUAAAAAUUCAAUAAUAACUAUGCAUAUUGGUGCAGAAUCAGCUGUGUCAUCCUUGUUUGCGUUUUUCACUAUUAAAAUCAUGUAUUUAUAAAUAUCUUCAUGGAAGGACGCAUGCAUAUUUCAUAUGCCGUCCUAGAUGUGCUUUCUACCCAGGUUGUCAGGAAGCAAAAUACAGGCAUAUAUGAAUUGUUCAACUAGAUCAUAUGCGACUUAGUGAAAUAAAUACUAAGAUGACAGACUCUUAA